rnacentral:lncRNA from 1 species
CUCGAUGAUGAUCUCCGCCUUGUUGAUCCAGCAAGAGGGGCGGAGAGGUAGAGGAGUUCUCCAACACGACGGCGUGGUGGUGGUGGUGGUAGUGCUAUUCCAGCAGGGCUUCGCCUAAGCACCGCUGAAACUGGACUAGAGGAGAAACAGAUCUAGAGAGAGGGCAGCACGUGGCUGAAAUUAUGUGUCUCAAAAACCCUCAAUACCUCUAGUAUAUAUAGGAGGGAGGGAGGGGAGGAGGCAGCCUCAAACCCUCAAGGUUUGGCCGAAAUUGGAGGUGGAGGAGUCCUAUUCCAAUCCUACUAGGAGUAGGAUUCCUCCUUUCCACUUGGAAACCCUUUCCACCUUUUCCACCUUUGGGUUUUUGCCUCUCAAACCUUAUGGGCCUUAGUGGGAACUUAUUCCAGCCCACUAGGGGUUGGUUUAUCUCCUCCCACAGCCCAUAAGGCCUCUUGGGGCGUGACACCCCUCCCGAUGGUCCCCGGCACCACUCCCGGCAGUCCCGGUACACUAACGAUGAGCCCGAAACUUUUCCGGUGACCAAAACAGGACUUGCUAUAUAUCAAUCUUCAUUUCCGAACCAUUCCAGAACUCCUCGUGACGUCCUGGAUCUCAUCCGGGACUCCGAACAAAAGUUCAGUUACCAGCACCUAUAACUCAACUAUACCGAAACGUCACU